AACGAACGCUGGCGGCAGGCCUAACACAUGCAAGUCGAACGCUCGUAGCAAUACGAGAGUGGCAGACGGGUGAGUAACACGUGGGAACCUUCCCUAUGGUUCGGAAUAGCUCAGGGAAACUUGGGGGUAAUACCGGAUAAGCCCUUCGGGGAAGGAUUUAUCGCCAUUGGAUGGGCCCGCGUCGGAUUAGCUAGUUGGUGAGGUAACGGCUCACCAAGGCAACGAUCCGUAGCUGGUCUGAGAGGAUGAUCAGCCACACUGGGACUGAGACACGGCCCAGACUCCUACGGGAGGCAGCAGUGGGGAAUAUUGGACAAUGGGCGCAAGCCUGAUCCAGCCAUGCCG
rnacentral:rRNA from 1 species